AUUGAGCAUGGGCGGCAUGACAAGGUAGAGGUCAGCCAAGAGAAUGUGGAUGUGCCAGGGCACAUGUAGGCCAAAGCGCUGAGUGUAGAACGAGAAGAGUCCCGGUGUAUAGAACAGAAGAAUGACGCCCAGGUGGGAGCCACAAGUGCCAAAGGUCUUAGCCCUUGCCUCCUUGGAGGAUAGGCCGAGCACAGCCCGGAGGAUGAGUGCAUAGGAUAUAGCAAUGCAGAUGGAGUCAGUGCCCACCACCAAUGUGGCUGCGGUGAUGCCAUAGAUGUUGUUUGGCUGUGUGCCCCCACAUGCCAGCUUCACCACAGCCAUGUGCUCACAGUAGGAGUGGGCCACCACUCGGCCACAGUAGCUCAGUCUUGCCAGUAAGCAGACUGCUCCCAGCAUCAGCAUGUGAACCUUAAGUCUGGAUCAUGGAGACUUUGUCUCCUCAGACUAACUCAGACUCUACUGACACAGGCUCUGUGUAGAAGGUCUGCCUCAUUCUAGUGUGUUCUGAAGACUCCAGGAGAGAGAGAGGAAAAUGGUACCAUUUGUCCUGAAGCCUCCAAAAAAAUGAACCAAGCCUCAUGCUGGGGGGUGAGAGCACAUGACCUGUGGUGGAUGGUGGGCAUGAGGACACAGGGCACAGUAAGGGAGCUGCACAACCGGG
ensembl:lncRNA